CCUACGGGUGGCUGCAGUGAGGAAUAUUGGUCAAUGGGCGGGAGCCUGAACCAGCCAAGCCGCGUGAGGGAAGAAGGUACAGCGUAUCGUAAACCUCUUCUGUCAGGGAACAAAUGCGGGGACUCGUCCCCUUAUGAGUGUACCUUAAGAACAAGCAUCGGCUAACUCCGUGCCAGCAGCCGCGGUAAUACGGAGGAUGCGAGCGUUAUCCGGAUCUAUUGGGUUUAAAGGGUGCGCAGGCGGCCUGUUAAGUCAGCGGUAAAAGCCCGGGGCUCAACCCCGGCGAGCCGUUGAAACUGGCGGGCUGGAGUUGGAGAGAGGUGCGCAGAAUUCGCGGUGUAGCGGUGAAAUGCUUAGAUAUCGCGCAGAACCCCGAUUGCGAAGGCAGCGUACCGGAUCCAGACUGACGCUGAGGCACGAAAGCGUGGGUAUCGAACAGGAUUAGAUACCCCUGUAGUC
rnacentral:rRNA from 1 species